rnacentral:rRNA from 1 species
GACGAACGCUGGCGGCGUGCUUAACACAUGCAAGUCGAACGGAAAGGCCCUGCUUUUGUGGGGUGCUCGAGUGGCGAACGGGUGAGUAACACGUGAGUAACCUGCCCUUGACUUUGGGAUAACUUCAGGAAACUGGGGCUAAUACCGGAUAGGAGCUCCUGCUGCAUGGUGGGGGUUGGAAAGUUUCGGCGGUUGGGGAUGGACUCGCGGCUUAUCAGCUUGUUGGUGGGGUAGUGGCUUACCAAGGCUUUGACGGGUAGCCGGCCUGAGAGGGUGACCGGCCACAUUGGGACUGAGAUAUGGCCCAGACUCCUACGGGAGGCAGCAGUGGGGAAUAUUGCACAAUGGGCGGAAGCCUGAUGCAGCAACGCCGCGUGCGGGAUGACGGCCUUCGGGUUGUAAACCGCUUUCGCCUGUGACGAAGCGUGAGUGACGGUAAUGGGUAAAGAAGCACCGGCUAACUACGUG